rnacentral:rRNA from 1 species
CUUGGUCAUUUAGAGGAAGUAAAAGUCGUAACAAGGUUUCCGUAGGUGAACCUGCGGAAGGAUCAUUACCAAGAGAAAUCUUUCAACACUGAAAGAUCUUUUCCUUUGUGCUGGCUUUGACCGUAUGUAAUUUUGGGACUUUAAAAUGGUUCGCAAGGGCCGGUCCCAAAAACAAUAUAUCAUCCUUAUGAAAUUUUUUCUGAACAAUUAAACAAAUGAUUUUAAUAAUCUGUUUAAAACAACUUUCAACAACGGAUCUCUUGGUUCUCGCAUCGAUGAAGAACGCAGCGAAAUGCGAUACGUAAUGCGAAUUGCAGAAUUCAGUGAAUCAUCGAAUCUUUGAACGCACAUUGCACUCCUUGGUAUUCCGAGGAGUAUGCCUGUUUCAGUAUCAUGAGCACUCUCACACCUAACCUUUGGGUUUAUGGCGUGGAAUUGGAAUGCGCCGACUGUCAUGGUUGGCCCUUCUAAAAUGUAGUUCUUGGCUGUCACCUAAUACAGCAGUUUGGCCUAAUAGUUUUGGCAUGCAUUGUCAAAUCUUUGGCUAACAUUUGCUCCAGGAGUCAGUCUUGAUAAUACAGAAAACUCAUUCAAAUUUUGAUCUGAAAUCAGGUAGGGCUACCCGCUGAACUUAAGCAUAUCAAUAAGCGGAGGA